rnacentral:rRNA from 1 species
UUUAAAUUGAGAGGUUGAUCCUGGCUCAGGACGAACGCUGGCGGCGUGCCUAACACAUGCAAGUCGAGCGAUGAAGCUUCCUUCGGGAAGUGGAUUAGCGGCGGACGGGUGAGUAACACGUGGGUAACCUGCCUCAAAGAGUGGGAUAGCCUCCCGAAAGGGAGAUUAAUACCGCAUAACAUUAUUUUAUGGCAUCAUAAAAUAAUCAAAGGAGCAAUCCGCUUUGAGAUGGACCCGCGGCGCAUUAGCUAGUUGG